rnacentral:rRNA from 1 species
GAACGCUUGCUGCAUGCUUUAUACAUGCAAGUCGAACGAAGGCCCUAGCUUGCUAGGUGUCCUUAGUGGCGCACGGGUGAGUAACACGUGGGAACAUACCUUAUAGUACGGAAUAACUGCGGGAAACUGUAGCUAAUACCGUAUAUUCCAGUAAUGGGAAAGAUUUAUCGCUAUAAGAUUGGCCCGCGCAAGAUUAGCUUGUUGGUGAGGUAAAAGCUCACCAAGGCUUCGAUCUUUAGCUGGUUUGAGAGGAUGAUCAGCCACACUGGGACUGAGACACGGCCCAGACUCCUACGGGAGGCAGCAGUAGGGAAUAUUGGACAAUGGGGGCAACCCUGAUCCAGCAAUGCAGCGUGAGUGACGAAGGCCUUAGGGUUGUAAAACUCUUUCAUCGGUGAGGAUAAUGACAGUAGCCGAAGAAGAAGGACCGGC